rnacentral:rRNA from 1 species
UUGAUACUGUGACGCUAGUGAUUGGUUGCUGUGGGCGGAAUGUGUGGUGUAGCGGUGAAAUGCUUAGAGAUCACACAGAAUAUGGAUGGGGAAGGCAGCUCACACAGCCCAAGAUUGACGCUGAGGCACGAAAUGCGUGCGGAUCAUAACAGGAUUAGAUACCUGGGUAGUACACACUGUAAACGAUGAUGACUCGCUCUCGGCGAUAGACCGUCGGUGGCGAAGCGAAAGCGAUAUGUCAUCCCACCUGCGGAGUACGACUGCAAGGUGGAAACUCAAUGGAAUUGACGAGGCACCGCACACGCGCGAGGAACAUGUGGUUUACUACGAUGAUACGCGAGGAACCUUACUCGGGAAUCGAACGGUGCAUGAAUGUUCAAGAGAUUGGACAGUCCUUCGGGACAUGUAUCGAGGUGCUGCAUGGUAAUCGUCAGCUCGUUCCGUGAGGUGUGGGCUUAAGUGCCAUAACGAGCGCAAC